rnacentral:tRNA from 1 species
GUUAUCGUAGCUUAACCACAACCUUAAAGCACGGCCCUGAAGCUGCCACGAUGGGAACACUCCUUCCCCGAAAACA